GAUGAACGCUAGCGGCAGGCUUAAUACAUGCAAGUCGUGGGGCAGCAGGUUUGUAGCAAUACAGAUGCUGGCGACCGGCAAACGGGUGCGGAACACGUACAGAACCUUCCUUUGAGCGGGGAAUAGCCCAGAGAAAUUUGGAUUAAUACCCCAUAGUAUAAUGAAGUGGCAUCACUUUAUUAUUAAAGAUUUAUCACUCGAAGAUGGCUGUGCGGCUGAUUAGGUAGUUGGCGGGGUAAAGGCCCACCAAGCCUGCGAUCAGUAACUGGUGUGAGAGCACGACCAGUCACACGGGCACUGAGACACGGGCCCGACUCCUACGGGAGGCAGCAGUAAGGAAUAUUGGUCAAUGGAGGCAACUCUGAACCAGCCAUGCCGCGUGGAGGAUGAAGGUCCUCUGGAUUGUAAACUUCUUUUAUAUGGGACGAAAAAGGCUUUCUAAGUCGUCUGACGGUACCAUAUGAAUAAGCACCGGCUAACUCCGUGCCAGC
rnacentral:rRNA from 1 species